rnacentral:misc_RNA from 1 species
AGAUUCGUUGUACUAGAAUGUGUUAACCUAGUACUGGAUAUGACACAUUCUAUUACUACGAAUCUGAAUAUACAUUUGUCCAGAUUCGUUGUACUAGAAUGUGUCACAUCCAGUCAUAGAUUUGUUUUUUAGGAUGGAGGGAGUAGUUGU